CUCCCCGUUGCUGACCCCAGGUUCGAUAGUGCCAAUUAGGCGCCACCUCGCCAAGAACCAGCUUCGGUGAAGCGACGGGCGGUGUGUGCAAGGAG
rnacentral:rRNA from 1 species